GAAUAAAUUGAAAAAAAAAUUACAUUUUGCACAAAUGUAAGAUAAACAAUAAACAAAUAUCUUUACAGAAUAGCUUUAGCUGUGAUAAAUGAGCAGUGUUAAGUGCUGGAAAUUGGUUCAGGUUCAAUUCAAAAUUUGUAUCAUAACUUUACUGCAAAAACUAAUUUAGAUCAUUUCAAAUUGAAAAUAUUUACCUUUAUUACAUCUAUUUUUAUUAAUUUAAACAUUUUCUGAUAAGUGAGUCAUUUUUUGGGAAAUAUUUAAUAUGAUGAAAAUGCCAAACUGUCCUUCACAAAAUAAAUGAUUCUUUCUUUUUCUAAAAAAUUAGGAAGUUCAAUAAACAUCUUCCAGGAAUAUUGAUUCCAUCGUUUCCCAAACAGGGGGUUGCACACUGCUUGUGUGUGUGUUUGUGCAUGUUAAAUGAAGAGCAGUUUUCAUGUUGACACAAGAGUAAUGCGAGCCUUGAGGAGCGAGGCAAGCCUGAGGUGUUUUCCUGGAACCUCCUUAUCUUCCCUUGAGAAACAGUUCUGGAAAUAUCGGUUCCAUUUUCAUCCCAGAUAUUCGGAUAGGUGGACAUGGUUUUUAUUUUUUUCAUUUUUCAGAAUUUGUGACCGGCGCCUUUGUUUUAGGGCUGAUGUGCUGAGUGUACAGAAUGAGUAAUGAUCGGUGUAUAGCAACAGGUCAGAAUUCAUGACCUCGUGCGGAAAUGUUAGAAUGCAGUUGUCUCAAGCAGAUGUUUGGCUAAAAAUGUAUGUAGUUGUGACAACUUUUAAUGUUAUUUAAACUUGUUUUUUCAGUUGUACAGGAAAAGAGUUAAAAAAGACCACUUUUUACAUAAAGUUUCUGAAAAAGCUGCUUUCUGUUUUGUGUACAGAGUCUCUGCAAGCGCUUCAGAUUUGAACUUUGGCAAAGCAUAGCAGUGUUGUGUCCGUGCUAUUAUGGCUGCUCGUUAAGCGUUAGGGUGUUACCUGAAAACACUCCUGACACCAGGGGAGCUGCUCAUAUUCAGGGCAAACACUGCAGAUAAAAGCUCAAGGGCUAGAAAAGCUGGGGCAGACACGACUUGGAAGGAAAAGAAGCAUAGCGGAGUGCUGACCUGUUUUUGCCUGUAUCAUCCAGCUUCAGUAAGGCUAGAGUAAUUACAAAGUAAGUGUAAUCAGCUAUGAGUGACGGUAAUUCCCUCCUUUCAUAUGUAAAUAACCAACAGGAUGCACUGCCUGCUUUUAUUUAUAAAUUACUGAUUUGAUUUACCAAUGUUCAAUUUUGUGGAAAUAUAAAGAAACAGCUAAAUAAAUCAGGUAAUUUCACAUGCACCGUGUAAGUUAUUCUGUUACAGCUGUUUAAGAUAGACAAAUUGAAACAAAAACUUUUCAAAAAUCUUUAGGCCGAUGCUGAAUGUCUGUCUAUUGGGUCAGAUUUGCCAAAAAGCCGCCUUGAGCAUAAAAGCUCACUGACGACAAUCACGAGUCACUACUUGACCCUUGUAAACACACAAAACAACCCACUAAAAGAGCCAAGUAGUUAAGAAUUGUGAAUGUAUGUGCACCUAAAACCUAAAGUCACACUAUAGGUACUGGUUUUGCAGGUUUUUGGGUUGUCCGGGCUCAUGGAGGGUCGUAGAGAAGAGCGGCUGCAUCUCAAAGGAGCGCAGGUGUUUCUCACAGUUCCCUUUUUCCAGGGAAAACUCUACGUGUUAUGCACAUUACGGGCUCCGUGUCCAAAACUCUCACAUUCACACGCCGCUAUGCAAGUUUUUACGUUUAUUUUUAGGUCUAUUGAACACAUGCCUUAAAAGUUAAACCAGUUGAACUUUGACCAGUCAGGGGACUCUGAUUUGGUAAUGAUGUAUGGGUGGGGUCUUUUUCAAAACAUGGAUGUGCCAACCAUUUAAGAAGUGAUCAUGAAGGAGAAAUUAAAUAUUGGGGUUUGUGUUUGACUGGAAUUAUAUGCCAUCAAGUCUUUCAUUUAUCGGAAUAGAGCUGUGAAAGAAAAAACCUGGAGCAAGAUUUGUGAGAUUUGUACCGCUUUCACAUUUGGCCUCUUCCAACUGUGACUACAUGUGCUCGAGUCAAGUGGUGACAGUCCAGUGUGAACACCAUGUGCAAAAGGGAUUUCAAGAAUGGCCUUUUAGCUCGUUCUUAAACACGGAUCACAUGCCCGGUGUAUAGUGGCAUCAGACUCAUACAACUACCUCAAGGGAGGUCACAAAAAUGGAACAUACAGAUGUCGAAUGUGUGCUAAAUGUAUAAUGAAGUAGUAUUUUGUGAGAAUAAAGUAAGUUGCAUGCACUUAUGAUGUAUGAGUGAGGCCAUUGUACGGUGUCGUUACGCUAGACUGUACCCGUUAGUAAGGUGUGUGUAAUGGAUCCUUACUGACUGCGUGCAAAUGCUGCGACGCAUUGGGUUAACAGGCUGCUAACAGCCAGGCUGCAUGCAAGGGGCGCACACUUAUCACUUUAUGCCCCUUCCACAGUGCGCAGGGUUUCAAAAAAACUAAAAAUCUGUGCGACGUGCCUGCGUCUCACCUUCUUCACCAUUAACUGUUGACCCGUCGUCCGCAGCAUGCCUGUUGGGAAAAAAAAUGUACAUGAACAUUUUCACUCUAAUGGUUCAUCAAGCGAUCUAAAACCUUGACAUUAAAACCCGCAGUCAGCCCGGAUCCACCCGGAAAGGGCAGUUGUGACUAAGGCAUAAAGGAUUUCAGGAUGAUCUCUCUAAAUGUGGGAAAACCAGCUUAGUCACCUCUCCUUGGUUUUCCAUUCUGUUCCUCUGGUAGUCAGACUGACUCUGACCGUGUAAAACACAUGUUUUAAAGCAGUAUCAACUGGUGAGAUAUACUGGCUUGAACAAGGAGGGGGAACAGACCUUUUCCUGCCAAGCGAAGCCUUAGCAACCGUUACAGUUGUUUCAUAGAUCGGCUUGUUAUAAAAAGAACAUGCGCGCAGGAGAGUAAACAGUCUGCUUUUCUCCAGGCUGCAUGGGAGGAUGAGACGCAAGAGUCAGAGGGUGAUGGAGUUUAAAGGAGCAACUUGGCUAAACUUUGCCUGUGCAACAAAUCCCCCUCAUCUGUCGCCAUCCUCCCAUCCCUCCGUCCAACCCCCACCCUUCCACUGAUCCACUCUCCAAAACGGUGCAGUGUCUGCUAAAUAUCUGGUGUAGAGACUGGGCUGAUUUAGAUUUUGCUUUGACAUUUAAAACAGCAUAAGAGCAUCCCACUACACUACAAGACCACUUAUUGCCUUUGUGCUUACAAGUAUCUGUCCACCGAGGUUUUUCCAUUCUUUGCAUGUAGGCUGUAGGAGACUUGCCCAGCUUUAGGUAGCAACUUUAUCUUUAGGCCUACUCCAUUUAAAAUUCUUUUUGUAGCUUUUAACAUGUUCUUGUCAGAUUUUUCUCAUGAUGGAGGACAUAUAUAAAGAAAAUUAGGCUUUCAUUUUUGAGUACUGAUUGAGUAUUGAUUUAUUGAAAUCGUUGAAUCAGGAGCAGAUUCAGAAGUGCCGUUUAAAAAAGCUUGUAACUGUGAUGUACAAGUUACUGCGGCAGGUCACAAGCACCCUGCUCUGCUACAUUCUGAUACAUCUACUUGUAGACGACUAGGUCCAUGUACGUUUUCUUGCAAGCUGGCAUCUGUCUCAAAACUGUAUGGCUGGAUAGCUCCAAUAUUGCUCACCAAUUUUGUUUCACUGGUAAUUUUGGGGGUGUGAGGGGCUGUAAGCUAGCAGGAAAGCAUGUAAACAGAGAGCUCUCAGCAAUAAGGAGAAGAAAGCAGGCGAUGUUGCUCCAUGCCAACAGUCCUGCCCAAAUUUCAGAGGUGAAUUUCUAAAGAACUCCUGCCACUCUGCAGAAACUAUAUCCUAGAAAAUUACACAGGUUUUUUGAUUUUGGAAAAAAACAGCAUAACAGACCACCGGGGGUGCUUUUAUAAUACAUUAAAAGAUUAGUGGGUCUUAAAGUUUUCUCUAAAGUUAUACGAAGGCAGAAGAAACAUAAUUUUAUGAUCUCAUUGUCAGAUGUAAAGAUUAUCAAUGAUGAUUACAUUGCCUUUUCAUGCUCCUCACAUCUGUUGUUUGGCUCUCAUUGCUCUGGCUUCUUCCUGUUUUGGAGGCAACCCGAAACACUUUGAUGAUCAUUUACAGGAACAUUUUGAAAACUUAUUUUUAUGCAUUUUGGCUGGAAAUCUUGUGUUGGGCUAUGGUGCAAGUGACUAAGGCGUGUGCAAAACCAACAGUUCAUUUGAAUCUGAGAAAAAGACAACGUGCAGACUGCUGGAGCCAUGGUUGGAAAUCAUAGAUGCCUAACAGACUCUUGCGCAGGGACCUGACAUUUCAGAAUAAUUUAGUGGUGCUCCAUCCCAGGGAGUCCGUGCCUCCUGGAGUCAGCGUUCUGGGACUUCGUUUUUUAGAAAAGCAAAAAAAAUAAAAAGAGAAAAUGUACAUUCUAACAAGUAGUGUUCUAUGUCAGACCUCUGCACCAACACCUGACGGAAACAGUAACUUAAUAAGUUUGAGAAAUAUGGGCUCUUUUUCAACUCCCUACAUGCAAACCUAGAAGAAAACAAGAAUAUAGUACACCACUGCUUCAACAGGUAGACUUACCUGAACACUCCAGUUAAGGUCUCUAACACUGCAGCAGAUGGUUUUGUCAUUAGUGUCAUCAGCAGUUUAUCAUGUCUGCUCUAUAUGUCAACUAUUGGUUAGCUGGAAAAACAAUGGGAAGCCUCAACCUAGUUUUUCUCUUUUUGUGGGUCACUGGCAGGUGGCUCAGUUUUAUUUUGGGUAAUAAGAUUAAUUAAAGAUGCAUUAAUUUGCCAGCGAUCUAACGUCUUAGAAAUUGAUUACAAUAUGUGGGUUUCAACCCUUUUUUUCUCAUCUCCAUCCAUUUUUCAUUAAGCAGUGAUACACAGUGCACUUUUCUUGGGCAAAUUGUUUCUAGAUGAGUUACCAAUGAAGCACGAUUCCAAAUAAAUGCUCCCAGACAGGUAAUUUUCUUAGAUUAAGGAUUGUGGGUCUCAAAGGAAACUGAUUUUUUUUUGCGGAGGUUUUUUCCUAAAAAUCCACUCCGAUCAUAUUUUGAGCUUUUUGUUGAGUGUUCUCAGUAGUCUUUUAAUUAUGAUUGUGCCACCCCCCCAAAAAAGUCAUUUUCUAGCACAUAAUUUCUGCAGAGUGGCAGCAGUUCUUUAGAUAUUCUCCUCUGAGUUGUGGAUGAGACAGUUUGUAAGGAGCAAUGAGUAUAAGAUAACUAGACUGAGCAAUCUCUUUCCCUCGCAUACCACAUAGUUCUCCUGAUUCACAAUGAUUUGAUAAAAAAGAAAUACUCAGAAAUGUAAUUUUAAGCUUCAUUUUCCUUAUGUCCUCCAUCAUCAGAAAAAUGCCACACUUUUUUGGUUAAAAAAACAAAAACACCAUUUUCUUUGGAGUGAUUGUUUAAAGACUUAGACUGGUGCACACUCUGUGCAGCAGGAACGGACAGCUCCAGGCCUUGAGGGUAACCGUCCUCCUUGUUUUUCUGAAAUUCUUGCCCUACCCUCUGUUAAUUAUCUAGAUCAGGCGAGUCCAGUCAGUCAAAAGCUGAAGUGGUUGGAGGAGAAGCAGGACAGAGCCCUUUGGAGGUGUUUGCUCCUGUUCUGGGACAAGCAUUUGUGAACUCACCAUCUGCAGGGAGAACUUCUUUUACGGAGACUGUGAGCUGGAGCUCUAAGCUACUCAAACCGGAGGUACCAAUACUGGACAUUAUACCAAGCAGAUCAGGAACCUGCUAGAAAGACUCCGUUCCUCGGCUGUCCAAAGCAACGUUCACACCGCCCUCCCCCUCGGUAACACGUGUUCAAGAAGUCACUUUCAAUGAAAGUCUAUGUAAACGCCUUAGCAUUGAAAGUGCGUUACCAUUUAAACUAGGUGAAACAUUGACCAAUCACGGACUUGGAUUUAGUAGUGACGUAUAGAUUUGGAUUCAUGUGGUAUUCCCGACAUGCUACAAACUUAACAUCUGCGUUUCUUUUACAAAUAAAGAUAAACCAAGGAAACUCUCCUGACAGGAUGGUAACCCAUACCCGCCAUUAGAAGGAUGCUAGCAAUGAACUGAACAAUUUUGAUUUUCUGCUCAAAUUGUGCGAUUUGCACCGCUUUGACAUUUAGCACCAAGCCUUUUCCAACUGUAGGUGGCUGACAUCCGCUAGUAAUCACUAGAGAAAGAAAAAGAAGCCCUUCCCUGCUCGUCCAGUGUGAACCCCCUGGGCUGAAUGCGCGUUAAAUACCUGGUUUAUAUGUAGCUUAAGAAUCCCCUCUGUGUCCCUGGAUCAGACAAUGUAGAAGGAAAAGUCAAAAACAUAAGAGAUGGAUCACUAGUUUGACCUUUUGAACUCUCUUCUCUGACAAAAAACAUCGACUUUUCAAAAACAUAAAGAUAAAAAUGAAGGAAACCUUAGAAAAAGAAAGAAGAUAAAGAAAUUGUCUCCUACUUUCAGGAUUUACAGCUGUGGGGGUCAUCAGUGGAUGUAGAGCGGGAUCAGAGUAGUGCAAAACUCCCCUCCACCCUCCUGUCUUUUGCAGCACUGCUGCUCCCACCCAUUCUUGUGCUCUCUGUUACUGUAUAUGGAUCAAACCAGGUCUGUGUGCACAUACAGCUGAAUACGUUCUUUCCUCUGACGUCCCAUGGAAAGAAAUGUUCAGUCUGUUUCUUUCGGUGAAAGGACACACAUUGUGAAACAGAAAUGGAUUUAAAGGUCACAUCACUAUACAUCUUUGUGCUGAAAGAGAACUCAGGUUUUUUCCAUGAUUUUUCUUUUUGUGACCUCACAAGUUGUUUAGUCUUAAAUGAUCACCUACUUUAAAAUGCACAGUCAUCAUUCGCAGAAUGCAUCGCCUAUGCAUUUAAAUGACAGAUAUUUUUAGGUAUUUCUAGAAACAAAGAUGUAUUUUUUUUCUCUCACAGAUUCCACAGGAAAAUAUUGAAUCUUGAUGUACGUGUGAGGAAAGCGAGUGUGUGUUUGUUUCCCAGCAGUUCACCUGUGCUCCCAAUAAGAAGUCACAACAGUCUCAGCCUGAGAAGGCAAGCAGGCAGGAUGUUUUUGAUGAAGCAGUGGGCUUAAUUUAGUCCCAGGCAUUCUCAGUAUCUGUCACCCAACCCCAAAUGAUCUCAACACACAGUGCAGAAGGUGUUAGUGAGUGCGAGUGUGUUUGAGCUCAAAUUCAUCCAGGGAGGGGGCAUAUAAAUUCAAAAGUUGUGUCAACAUUGGUCUGUAAGGAAAAAAAAAACUACAACCAGUAAUUUAAAUACAAUGACAUAUACUUUUUUUUAACUUUGGGAAUGACAAAGGUUAUAGAGGUGCAUCAGACACCUCUUUAUGUAAUUAGGAAUACUAAGUACUAAAAGAGAAUAAUCUCAUUAGCCCAGCCAAAAACCCACAAUCUUGAUUUGUUCUAAAAGAUCUGGCUUUGUUUUAGCUCUUUUUGGGCCAGCAAAAAACCAAACAUUGCCAACAAACCAGCAAAAGCAAGAGGAGAAGGAGUGCCAACAACCUCUGCCAAAGACUUUAGUUUGCACCCUGCGUUCUUUUUCCUAUGUUCACAUUUUCUGCCUACUCCUUUGAAUAACAUAGUUUUUCUGCAUGAUAGGAGAGCGUUUUCCAGAGAGGUAGACAUUUUCCUCAUUUUUUCCAGAUUUCUCUGGCCGCUUACUUUAGUACCGAAACCGAUUUGACUUUUUAAAAUCUGGUGUCAUUUUGUCCUCAUUAUUUUACUCUGGACUUUUAAUGAACAUGUAAAGACUCGCCUAACAGCUGCACGCUAGGCAAAGAGGUGAGCAAGGUGGCCCGUAAAUGAAGGGAAAGCAGGACCACACAGCAGGGUGGUCAGGUUGUCGGAGUCCAUAUUUAAACUCUGGGUCAGAGUCCUGGUCAUGACCUCGCUCUCACUAUUGCUGAACUGUGGCCUCCACUGCGCCCCAUGUCACGUUCAGCUCAGUCCUCCUCCGUCUUUGUCUCCACCAGCUCUUUAUUUAAUUUUUUUAUUUUAUUUUUUCCAAAAAGGUGCAAGCUUAGCCACAGACAGGAUUACUGUCUGCCUGUGUGGUUUUUAUAUGUAAACUAGCAUCAAGAUCAGUGCUUAAAAUCACACAAAGAGAGAGGGGCCUGGCUGCAGACAACAAGAUGGCAUCGGUCAUCAUCAUCCGGAGGCAGAAAUUACACAACUUUAGGAGAAAAGAAAGGUUUUUGUUUUUUCCUUUUAUAUAUUUGAUUUAUUUUUAACGUUUAAACCAUCAUUGGGUCAUAUUGUCAUGUUUUUUUUUAUUCAAUGUGUGCUUUAUUUUGUAGGUUUUAAGCAGAAGUUAACUUUUUUAUUUAACUUUUUACUGAGAAUUUCUUUUAUUUUUUAAUAAUAAUAAUAAUUAUAAUAAUACAUUUUAUUAAUAAGGCUACUUAUGCUACUUUAAUCUUCAGAAGAAGACUCAUCGAGUUUGCAGCGGGAUUGGAUGUUGCUUUAUCCGGUGCCUCUUAAAUACAGCGCAUUUUAAAAGUAAGAUUUAAAGCUUAUUGUUUAGAAAAACUUUAAUAAAACCUAAAUAGAGAGAAAACAUGAAUAACUGUAACCCUUUCAAAACUCACAAUUAAAAUGUUUUCAGAAUUGUUACAAAAGCUUAAAAUGUGAAUAAACAGGAGCUGUUCAGGUUUCCAGAACAAAACAAAGAUUUAAUGAGCAAGAUGAGCUUAGAAAGGGCUUAAAACAAUGAUUUUAUUGAUUUCAAAAUUUCAAAAUUAACACUAUUACAAUUGAAGAGUUAAAAAAAAAGAAACCAAUAACUUAUAUUUAAGCUUAAAACAGGAAAAACAUUAACCUUUGUGUUUCCAGUCAACAUUUGUUGAGUGAUAUGGGGGGACUUCAAGUCCCAGUGGAGGACCUGUGGUUUUGACCGAUUGUGUCUGAUCUUGUUUUUUGCAAAAACAAGAUAUUUGGGGUCAACUUGGAAAGGCAAAAGUGAAUUUCAGUUUUUUUCUCUUCCAAUUAGAAACUUGAAAAAACAUAGAUGCAAAGGUUGAAUGCUCACUGGCAGAGUUAUUUAUGUAUUAUUAUCCACCCAUUCAGCUUUUUGGGUUGUAAGAACUUACUCCCAUUUUUCUGAAAAACAGAAGGACAUUCUGGGCUUCAUUUGUGCAGAUGUGAUCCAAAGACCUAAGGAGAAAAUAAUUUGUGUCCAUAUGAGCCGGAUGUGUUUAGGAAUGUAUGGCUCACAGAUGUUGGAUCUGAUCCUUAAAAACCGACAUUUUUCUAUGUUUAGAUGUAGAUGUGAUACAUGAAUCUUUUGUUUUCAUGCAUACCAUGCAUGUCUGUCUUUCAACGUUUUUUAUUGUGCAUGUGUGAAAUGCACAGGGCACAUUUUGGAUUGUAUGAAGGGAAUUUUUGAACAAUAAUUGUAAAAAAAGAUUUUUGGGGGAGAUUUUAAUUUGUUAUUUGGUCUUCUCUGCUGCCUGAAAAUCUAAAAUAAAGAUGCUAAAAACAACAACAAACCGUCAGGAUUUAAAAUUUAGGAGGUGCCACAUUGCUGCCUGGUCUGUUAGGCCCGUAGCAGCCAUUCCUCACAGCGAAAUGGCAAGCCCAGUACAAAUCAACUGGAAUGAAUGUCAGUACAACCGUGCAGCUCAGUGGCUCUGAACCUUCUGCGAAGCGAAUGGGGCUGCCAACAAUAAGACACAAUGAUAUUGUCCUGUUUUUCAUGCUGGAGGCCUCCCAGUAAGGCGUUCUUGUGAAUACUUCCUCCGCGUGACAUGGACACAAGCCCACAACCGCCAGAGGAGCCGAGCUGCAGAGCGCCUCUGAGCCCUGCUGAGACCUGCCAGGCUCACUAGCUCUCCCUGCCAGAGGCCUCAGCUCCCAGUCAAAAGAACCUCCAACCGGACGGUGUAGCCCUGGAAUCAAGAUCUGAUUCAGCUGGACUGAUCCGUCUGGGUAAACAUGAUGAUUGGGAAAUGUUUUCAUUAAGUGUUUAGCAGACCCUGCGUGGAUGUGAGGCUCAGUGCGCCAUGAUCAGCAGAGGGCAGAGACACAGUACAUGACAUUACAGCCAAACGGUAAGUAAGAAGAACGCGAUCUGAUGAGGUCCUUUAAAAAAAAAGAAAGAAUUCUCUGGUACAAUUAAAUCCUUUUUUGCUUUUUACAUUGAAGAGGAAAUGUUUUUGCUAAUUUACUGUGUGUAAAUGUCAUUUCUAUUGAUUGCAUGAUGUUGAAAGCUUAAAAAUAAAAUCUAAAAUGUUUUUUUUCUUUUUUUGAAAAUAAAGUAGUAGGUACUUGCACAAAGAAAAAAACUAAUAAAAAUGUACAGACAGUUUAGGAUUUCCAGCUACAGAUUCAAAGGGGUUUUGUUAGGAGUUUAUUAGAAAUCUGCUGCAGUGUCUUUCUGAUCUGACAAAAACUGAAUACUUCAAGGACAUUGGUUUCUCACUCUUAUUUAAAAGUCUGUUAGAAGCUGAUUUAUCAGGGAGAAUGACUUAAUUUUGAGGGGUAUGUGCAAGACUGUCAAAAUAACCAAAAUACAUUUUAGAGAUUUCAUUGAGAAGCUAAAUAUAUCCCUUUUAGGGAAAUUCUUUCAGACUUUGUCAGUUUUCCACCUCAUGAAAGCAGCAUCAGGAUCCUCCUUCCUACGUUCAACAGCUUUGUCCAUAUAUUAUUUAAUAGCUACAACUAUAGAAACACUUGACACAGCAUUUUGUAUUUAAUAUAUUCUAUGUUUUUUUUUUUUUUCAUUUUAUGUAUACAUACAUCUUGUUUAUUCAACUUUGACCUCUUAUGAUUUUAGCCCCAGUGUUUCCCUGUGCGGAUCCUUUAUGGCAGGGCUUGCCAGCUUGGUCUGUGGUUGUUGCCGCGGUUACCGCCCUUCUGGGCCUGGGGUGUCCAACUUUGCUGCCUGAUGGUUGUGGAGUGGACCCUAUUGCUGUCCCGGUCUGGGUGGGCACAGUGGCGAUCCUCCUGUGGCUGAGCUGGCUCCUGUUAUGAAGAGCUUCCCAAUAUGCUGUUUCCUCACAGCAGAGCCAAGCCUUAAGUUACUUUCAUAAGUAUUCAUUGUGUGUGGGGUUAUGGGAUGUAUGUGUUAAUAGAGCGGAGGGGGGAGGGUCUAGGGUGGGUUGGGUUUUUUAUUUGAUGAAUCUCUCCUCAUUCAGAUAACUCCGUUUUUUGGCUGUCAGUGAGUGGAUUCACUUGCCUCCACUGUCCUGCAUGAGAGUUAGUUAUCAGUUGAAGUUGUAUACAUUAAUUAUUGUACUUUGUUCUUUGUUAUGUAUUUUUUUUAACCAUUUCAUUGUCUGUUGUAGAGGAAGAAAAACUGAGGCUGGAUUGACCAACAUUCCCAGAGUUACAGAUUCAGAAAUCAGACUUCUUAGAAUUAAAGAAUAAGAUUUCCUCCCAGUCUGUGAAUGCAGCUUUAGCAAUAGUGGCAGCUCUUUGCCAAAACUCCUCUUCCUUGGAUUGCAGCGCUUCAGCACUUGUAUGUUGCUGCUCAGCGAAAACAAAACAAAUCCUGGAUGGAACAAGUUUCUUUCCUUCCUUAAGCAAAUUAAACGAUUAGCUUUUAGUUUCCUGCAUAAUUGUGUUAUGCAGAAAAUCCUUUCAGAAGCACAAUCAUAAUCAGUAACGGCAAUUUCUACAGUUUUUCUACUGCUUUUUUUUGUUUUUUUAAAUAAAAGUAUUGAUCUUAACUGGUCUUUUGUUUUUAUUUUUUGUGAAACACUGUUCUUCUCUUUCACUUUCUGUUUCCAAAGCAAAAAAAAGGAAUUUUGCAGCUGGAUGAUACCCAGGUUCCUGCUUGGAAAUAUUCAGUCCAAAAGGAAAUGUAUGAACAAGUCAUUUUGGCUCUUUGCAUCAGCAGUGAUUUUCUUGCAAAAAAAGAAUGCUACAAUAACCCAUUUUAAAAUAAAAGUAGCAAAAACACUUCACAAGUUUUUCAUAAAGCUGCCAAAAAUGAUUGUAAUUCCAGCGCAUUUACAGUACUGAAGUACACUGAUGUUGCACUGAGUCUAAUAUGUUACAGCGACUUUUUAUAGAUUUGACUUUUUUUCAGAUGGUAUAUAAUAAAAAUGUAAGUGGGCUGCCAAAUAUUGUUCCAGGCCAUAAUACUCCUUGGUGCUCAGCCCAAGUGUUCAUAGUGUGCUGAGAGAACAUGGGUGCUAAUUCUUUUCUGGACACGUGCAAAGCCUGCCAGGAUGCAUGGACCCUGCAUUACAUGUAGACAAGCGAAGGGGGGGGGGGCUGGAAUCCAAACAAUGUUUCAAAAAUGAUUUGAUCCAUUUUGUAGGGUGUCUGCGUGUUUUUGCAGCUGUAAAAAAUUCAGUUCUUGCAGCAUUUUUCUCAGUAUGAAGAGCUGGAAAUGAAUCAUCAAAGUCCAAACUAAGCAAGAUGUUAAAUGCAUUGUAGAUUUUAUGACUUAUCUAUAAAACAAAGUUGCAGUCGGUUUUUUGCUGCCUGAACAUUUAGCAGACAGGAAGAAAGACUGAUUUUUUUUAAGUAGUCUAUUGCGUGCAUGCAUGGACUGCCUUAGCGUUUAUAGAACACUGAUCUGGUCCAGAGAGUAAUAGAAUGAAGCGUGGGUGUGGAGGAAGAUUCCCCUGGAGCAGAUUUAAGGUCUUCAAGUACUAAAAAGCCUUGACCCAUGCCCUGCUCACCCACUCACAGGAACCCUGCACCUUCUCUCCAGUCAAGAACGUGCUGUAAACAUGUGGAAAGAAGAACUACACAACUGCUGAUUGACCCAAACACACACAAAAAAA